GCAGGGGACGCUGUGGCACAAGCUUGGAGAACACGCUGUCAUGGCGGCUCGGCUGAGGCAGAAGGGAUGGAAGAGAGGCUUUGCUUCACAAACCCCCUGGGCCGCUCUGUGGGAAUGGACUUUCAGCAUCCAGUAUGUCCUUGUGAUACCUAGAUGAAGGCAAAAGUAAAGAAGAGAAAGGUUAAAAACUCCUCACAAAAUAGGACCACAAGAGGUGUGGAUUCUAGAGGUUGGAAGUCGAAGAGAGAGGAAAAUUUCACUGCAAGGUAACAGCCUUUGUAGACAUCCCACAGAGUGGAUUACUGACUUACAAGGAAGAGUAAUGGAUCUCAGGUAUCUGUUACCUAAAAUGUAACUUCUCAUUGCUUAUGGGACAUGUGGGACACGAUAGAGAAGCGGAUUCCACGACUAUGUAGGACAAACAAUAAGCAACUUUUUAUUUUGUUGCUAUUAGAUAUAUCCCAAUCCAGAUUAAUCCUACUCUUUCAGUAAUGCAUCUUUUUAUGUUGUUUAACCAAUCUGUCACAAAACUGGAAAGCUUCUUAAUGAAAUCAUUCAAUCACUUCUUCAUAUCCCCUCUGUUUUCUGGGUCUGUUGAAAUAAUUCAUAGAGUUGCAGAAAGUUUUUCCUUCAUGUUGCUUUAAAAAUAGCACUCCAGGUCUCUGUGCUUAGUUAAUGAAAAAACAAAAAAUUCUAAACAUUUUUUAUGUUUAGGACUCAAAUACCAUGACAAAUGCUUCUGAAAAUAGUAUUCCUGUUAGAAGUUUCAUCAUUUUUAAAAAUCACUAAUUUAGUAGUUACUCAACAUCAACUUAUAUAUUGUAUGUAUCAUAUGCAUAAAGCAAUGCUAAAGAGAGAAUCAAAAAAGAAUUAUCAAGGUGGAAGGGUGCGUAAGAAAAAAAUCUGUACAUUUAUUCUUUGGUUUCAGUAUUUAAUUAGGCUUAUCUUACUACUUAUGAAUGUUGGUAAUUUUAUUUGUCUUUUUGAGUUAAAAACAUUAGAAUAUUUAAUUAAUUGGGUUUUUAGCAAGUGAAUGUCUCCAACUUCUAUGUCCAAUGAAAUUAAUCCCAAAAUUCUUGUGUGGGAUUGUUGUCAUAUACAUGAGUGAACAGCAGAAACUUUUCGAAAUGAAGCCUUUGUGUGAUUGUACUGUUCAGCCUGCUCUCUGUCUCAAAACAGCAGAUCUUGAGGGACAAAAUGUUGACAGGCAGUGGCUGGAGAAUCAAUCCAUUAAAACUGAAAAUUAAAAAAAGACUUAAUGUGAGUGGCAAAAUAGUUUGGUCUUAAAGUUCAGCCUAGACCCAUAUGUUGUUAUAUUUGCAAAUUCUUAUUUAGGGAUGGCGUGUUCUUGGAUUGUUUUUUCUUUCUCUAUGAUCACAAUGAGACUAUGGAAAAACAAUGACUAUGCAAAUUGCUGGCAGUGUAUUAAUAAUGAAUUUAGUUCUCCUCAAUCUGUGCUUAUGAAAUUUUUGUCUUGUCAUCUCAGUAGGUAAGGAAAACAGAUAAGAUUUCAAUCAAACACCAGUUCUUAUACAAACCAGUAUCUAUAUUGGAGUGUAAUGUUUACACUGAAAUACUCUACCAGUACUGACACCAAGAAAUUGAAUGAAACCUGUUUUUCUAGAAUUAAUACUAGUCAGCAUGCGUCUGUGUAUAUAUAUGUAUAUAUAUAUAUAUAAUAUAUAUACACCAGCAGUUGGUAGUGAUUCUGCAUAUAUAUCUGUUAAAAUGAGUACAUUAUUAUUUAUGUUACCUUGUUUUGAAAAUUGCCUUAUAUUGUUUUACCAGGAGAAAAUGGCUCACAACCAGCAUGUCCUAUAUCAGUUGCUGAAGGCCUUGUGUUAUGCUUGCUUAACCUUAUAACCUAUAAAGCUGGUAGGAGAAAAUUUAACCCCAGACUAAACCACUGUGCGUGGUUCCUUCUACAGAGAGGUGUCAGGGUCUGGGGUUUCUUUCCUUUUCUUUCCUUGUUACUUGUGGAAUUGCUAAAAAGCACUGAUGGCUGGGUGCUUAAGAGGUGAGGAGGGGGAACUCCUCUGGUUUUUGGGAGUUUCUCUCAGAGGACAGAGACCCCCCAAGAAUAGAAGCAGGUAAAAGGAUGGGGGCUGGGGCAGUUGCGGAGCUCUCACUCAUUCUCUCUGGGCUUUGGGGGAGAACAGUUGAACACAAAGCCUGGGGAAAGAAAUUCUCUGCCACUGCCAUAACCCAGCCAGGAGCUGCCUUCCUUCUGCUGCUGGGCCCCGCAUCCCCUGCUUCAGUUUUCAGCUACCCCAGCAAAGCUUCUGAUACAUCUCAUCCACUGCCCCAGGA